UACGAGGGGGCAAGCGUUGUUCGGAAUUAUUGGGCGUAAAGGGUGCGUAGGCGGUUUGGUAAGUCUGAUGUGAAAUCUAUGGGCUCAACUCAUAGUCUGCAUCGGAAACUGCCGGGCUUGAGUAUGGGAGAGGGACGCGGAAUUCCAGGUGUAGCGGUGAAAUGCGUAGAUAUCUGGAGGAACACCGGUGGCGAAGGCGGCGUCCUGGACCAAUACUGACACUGAUGAGC
rnacentral:rRNA from 1 species